rnacentral:rRNA from 1 species
GAUGAACGCUGGCGGCGUGCUUAACACAUGCAAGUCGAACGGACAGGCUCCUGCUUGCAGGGGUACUCGAGUGGCGAACGGGUGAGUAACACGUGGGUGAUCUGCCCUUCACUUCGGGAUAAGCCUGGGAAACUGCGUCUAAUAUCGGAUAGGACCACAUUAUGGAUGUUGUUGUGUAAUGUUAUUCGGUGUGGGAUUGGCUGGCGGCCUAUUCGCUUCUUGGUGGGGUAAUUGCUUACCAAGGCGUCGACGGAUAGCCGGCCUGAGAGGGGGCACGGCCACAAUGGGACUGAGAUACGGACCAGACUCCUACGGGAGGCAGCGGUGGGGAAUAUGACAGAAUGGGGGCAAGCCUGAUGCAGCGACGCCGCGUGGGGGAUGACGGCCUUCGGGUUGUAAACUACAUUCGCUAGGGACGAAGCGCAAGUGACGGUACCUGGAGAAGAAGCACCGGCUAACUACGUG